AUCUUCAGGGCGGAGUGAAAUUCUCCACCGGCUGUAAAUGCGGCGCGUUCGCAUGAGCCAGCAAGCCUUUGGAAAAUCCAAAAGCACGAUGCGGUGAAAUUCCGCAGCCGACAGUAAAGUCUGGAUGGGAGAGGAUU
rnacentral:ncRNA from 1 species